AUGUCUCUUGCCUCGCUCUGCAAUGCCUUUCUAUGACAUCGCAUGAGCUGGAUGCUCGCUAAACACGCUCCUCGGAGCAUAGCUGAGUACGAGACUAUAUCGACGACUGCAUCAGCGGUAGGUCGGCCAUUGAGUACGGCGAGGUAGAUGUUUUCUAGGUGACCUCAUAGUCGUAAUUAUGGCUAGACACAGACUC
rnacentral:snoRNA from 1 species